rnacentral:rRNA from 1 species
UCCUACGGGAGGCAGCAGUGGGGAAUUUUGGACAAUGGGCGCAAGCCUGAUCCAGCAAUGCCGCGUGCAGGACGAAGGCCUUCGGGUUGUAAACUGCUUUUGUACAGAACGAAAUGUCUCUGGUUAAUACCUGGGGAAGAUGACGGUACUGUAAGAAUAAGGAUCGGCUAACUCUGUGCCAGCAGCCGCGGUAAU